UGGGGAAUAUUGGACAAUGGGCGCAAGCCUGAUCCAGCCAUGCCGCGUGGGUGAUGAAGGCCCUAGGGUUGUAAAGCCCUUUCGGCGGGGAAGAUAAUGACGGUACCCGCAGAAGAAGCCCCGGCUAACUUCGUGCCAGCAGCCGCGGUAAUACGAAGGGGGCUAGCGUUGCUCGGAAUCACUGGGCGUAAAGCGCACGUAGGCGGAUUGUUAAGUCAGAGGUGAAAUCCUGGAGCUCAACUCCAGAACUGCCUUUGAUACUGGCGAUCUUGAGUCCGGGAGAGGUGAGUGGAACUGCGAGUGUAGAGGUGAAAUUCGUAGAUAUUCGCAAGAACACCAGUGGCGAAGGCGGCUCACUGGCCCGGUACUGACGCUGAGGUGCGAAAGCGUGGGGAGCAAACAGGAUUAGAUACCCCCGUAGUCC
rnacentral:rRNA from 1 species